AGCUUUGCACAGUGGUAGUCUUGCAGUCAGUGAGGUUACCUGAUAUGUGAUUAUUGCUAACUGAGAACUUCCCCAUACCCUGCCACAAUGACUUGAAAAUAUAGUUGGCAUUGGCAAGUUUUGACAGCUUCAAUGGAG
rnacentral:snRNA from 1 species